rnacentral:rRNA from 1 species
UACGGGGGGAGCAAGCGUUGUCCGGAUUUAUUGGGCGUAAAGAGCGUGUAGGCGGCCGUACAGGUCAGCUGUGAAAACUCGAGGCUCAACCUCGAGACGUCGGUUGAAACCGUACGGCUAGAGUCCGGAAGAGGAGAGUGGAAUUCCCGGUGUAGCGGUGAAAUGCGCAGAUAUCGGGAAGAACACCCGUGGCGAAGGCGGCUCUCUGGGACGGUACUGACGCUGAGACGCGAAAGCGUGGGGAGCGAACAGG